rnacentral:rRNA from 1 species
GACGAACGCUGGCGGCGUGCUUAACACAUGCAAGUCGAACGGAAAGGCCCUGCUUUUGUGGGGUGCUCGAGUGGCGAACGGGUGAGUAACACGUGAGUAACCUGCCCUUUACUUUGGGAUAACUUCAGGAAACUGGGGCUAAUACCGGAUAGGAGCUCCUGCUGCAUGGUGGUGGUUGGUAAGUUUCGGCGGUUGGGGAUGGACUCGCUGCUUAUCAGCUUUUUGGUGGGGUAGUGGCUUACCAAGGCUUUGACGGGUAGCCGGCCUGAGAGGGUUACCGGCGACAAUGGGACUGAGAUAGGGCGCAGACUCCUACGGGAGGCAGCAGUGGGGAAUAUUGCACAAUGGGCGGAAGCGUGAUGCAGCAACGCAGCGUGCGGGAUGACGGCCUUCGGGUUGUAAACAGAUUUCGCCUGUGACGAAGAGUGAGUGACGGUAAUGGGUAAAGAAGCACCGGCUAACUACGUG